GACAGAGGGUGCAAACGUUGUUCGGAAUUACUGGGCGUAAAGCGAGUGUAGGCGGUUCGAUAAGUCAGCUGUGAAAUCCCCGGGCUCAACCUGGGACUUGCAGUUGAAACUGGUGAGCUAGAGUAGGGUAGAGGGGUGUGGAAUUCCUGGUGUAGCGGUGGAAUGCGCAGAUAUCAGGAGGAACACCGGUGGCGAAGGCGGGUCUCUGGGCCUGUUCUGACGCUGAGGAGCGAAAGCGUGGGGAGCGAACAGG
rnacentral:rRNA from 1 species